GUGCCAGCAGCCGCGGUAAUACGGAGGGGGCUAGCGUUGUUCGGAAUUACUGGGCGUAAAGGGCGCGUAGGCGGCGCGAUAAGUUGGGCGUGAAAGGCCCGGGCUCAACCCGGGGACUGCGCUUGAUACUGUCGCGCUGUGAGUCCGGGAGAGGAUGGCGGAAUUCCCAGUGUAGAGGUGAAAUUCGUAGAUAUUGGGAAGAACACCGGUGGCGAAGGCGGCCAUCUGGACCGGCACUGACGCUGAGGCGCGAAAGCGUGGGGAGCAAACAGGAUUAGAUACCCUGGUAGUCC
rnacentral:rRNA from 1 species